GAAAAACAAAAAAGAAAAAAAAAAAUCUUUUCUAGAAAUGAAUUAAGCUCUUCUGGCAGCAAUUUAGUCAACAAUGCUGAUGUACAUGACAUUACUGGAUUAAAGUUCAUGGCAAUAAAAAAUAAACAUACAAACAUCUGUAUUAAAUGUUUAUUGAAACUGCAAAUUGUGUAUUGGACAGUAAUAGUUCACACGAGGGCUGCACUGGUCAUUUUAAUGUUUAACCCCAAUAUAUACCAUUCACAUAGUUUUUAAUGGUACUACCAACCAUUUUCUAACUUCAAAGAUUAGUUCAUUACAUUUUUUCCUCGUGUCCAAUUUGAUCAAUUCAUCAAAAUCAACUUCUUGAUACCGUCUUGGCUCAGUAAUUUGUGAAUAUGGAGCUCCCCCCAAUUAGCAUCUUGUGCUAUUUAAAACUGUGGUAUAUGCUAACCAAGAAGUGUUCAGGUUCUGUGAUGAGGAGUGAAUAAAAGACUUUCAGCUGUAUUGUAAUCAAAAAUCACCACACACACACACAAACAAUUGUCCAGCACGAGUUCUGUAAUAAUUAUAUGAAUGAAAUAAAGGUGUCAUUGCUAGUUAGUUAACAUAGCAUUUACCUUUGUUGCACAAAUCAAGGUCAAACAUUCAAAAAGCCAAUAUAGUCCUUUGUGAUACUGAAGCAUUUAUGAAACAUGAUUUAAAUCAUGACUUCAAUCUGUCUCA